UAUUUUAUUUUUCAUGAGAAUUUUGUUCAGAUUUGUUAGAAAAGAAAAUUAGGAUUGCAUGGCUUAUACUACGCUCCUAUUUUUCUAGAAUAAUCUGAGGGUUGAGACAUUCAGUUGCGCAGUUACAGCUGAUACACAGAUAUAGUAACAUUCCCUUCUCUCUCUCUCUAGUCUAAAUUAGCGUUAAGAUGUCUGAAGAACAUUUUGAUGAGUUUGAACAUUUUAACUACGAUCAAGACAAGAUGAUGCACGCUGGUCAGAGCGGUAAG